rnacentral:rRNA from 1 species
GAUGAACGCUGGCGGCGUGCUUAACACAUGCAAGUCGAACGGAAAGGCCCAAGCUUGCUUGGGUACUCGAGUGGCGAACGGGUGAGUAACACGUGGGUGAUCUGCCCUGCACUUCGGGAUAAGCCUGGGAAACUGGGUCUAAUACCGGAUAGGACGAUGGUUUGGAUGCCAUUGUGGAAAGUUUUUUCGGUGUGGGAUGAGCUCGCGGCCUAUCAGCUUGUUGGUGGGGUAAUGGCCUACCAAGGCGUCGACGGGUAGCCGGCCUGAGAGGGUGUACGGCCACAUUGGGACUGAGAUACGGCCCAGACUCCUACGGGAGGCAGCAGUGGGGAAUAUUGCACAAUGGGCGCAAGCCUGAUGCAGCGACGCCGCGUGGGGGAUGACGGCCUUCGGGUUGUGAACUCCUUUCGCUAGGGACGAAGCGUUUUUGUGACGGUACCUGGAGAAGAAGCACCGGCUAACUACGUG